CCAGCCCCACUGAUGCCCCAGGAUAUUUACCUGAUACAUAGGCCACUUAGAGGCACUUAAGGUACAGGUGAAUUUCAUUCCUAUUUUCUAGAUCUAGCCACAUAAUGAAAUGCUCCAUGCAUCUCUUCAGGAAGGACAGAUGAGAUGACAAUUUUUUUUUAACAUAUGCACAAACCUGUCUUAAAAUAAAGAAGACAUAAAUAAGUCCUGGAAAGUCAUUAUAAAGAACUGUAAAUCACUGAUGAGUUUCUGCAGUGCUCAUUCAUGUGGCUUGCAGUUCUUCUCUAAUUAUUCAGAAAAAAGUCCCUGAGAGCACAACAUACCUGAGAUCGGACGUGCUGUUUCACAACAAAUGAAAUGGUCCUUCAGACUGUAAAUCCCCCAGGCAGCCAUUACUUUGUGUUUUGUAGUGUGUCCUGAAAUCAACAGGCUUUUCCUUCAACCAGACUACUGAAGUAAAAUAAUGGUAAUGGUAGAAGAUGUGAUUUAUUCAGCCAGCAUAUCCAAACAACAUAUAACUAUACUUCCUUCCCCUUGGUUUCAGCCUUAUCUGCUAAGAUUAGUAAUUCUUCUGCCUUAGAACAGACCACCCUAGCGAGGUACUUAGAGAACAGACCCUCGGGGUCUUUGCCUAACAGGUAACGAUGCAUCCUGCUUAUUGAGUGACUAACACAUGAAUCACAAAAUAGAACUUGUCGCAAUGAGGAAAGGAACUUACUUGUUCAAUUUUGUUGUGUCUUGCAGCUUCUUUGUCAGGGACUUAGCUGGUCACAGAAGGGCACGGCCUGCCCUCCAUUUCGAAGGCAGCAGCUGAAAUACAAUCUGGACAGAUAUUCCUCUCAUGUACCAACAGUCUUUCCCAUCAAGAAAUAUCACCCCUGGCUGCAGAACAAAGGUAGCAUGGAUGCUGACUCUUGCAGCACUGGUGGAACAGCCUGCUCCCUGAAAAAGGGUGAUAUUUGGGAACCUGAAGAACACAUAGACCUUGAGUCAUUUAACACCAACGUUUUCUUUGAACUUUUGCUGAGGCAGUCACGAUCAGUCACAGCCAAACUGGGCCAUUUCAAAGAAGAGGUGAAAACUGUAUAUCGCAAGCUUACGAGUGAAAUAUCUGCACUGAAAAACCUUUGGAUCAUGACACUAAAUAUCCCAGAAGAGAUGGAGUCAUACGAGAGCACAAUGAUGGAGAAUUACUUAAAAGCAAAACAGCAGGCAGAAGAAGAGAUGCAGCACAGGAAGCAGCGGGCUGCGGAAUAUGAGGAAGGCGUGAACAAACAGAUGCAGUUACUGCAGCAUGAUCUGAAAUGUCAGGAAGAGCAUUAUGUCACAUUCAAUUCUGCCCUGCGAGAGGCGAUGAGACUGGCAGAAAUGCUGACAAACAAGAUGGCCUGUGAAGGAAGCCCAACCACUUGGUCCCAGCGGGACUACAAAAGCCUGUUAGCCCUGAUAGAUGCUGCAAGCAACAGGAUGUCAAGCAUAAUAAUAACAGAGAGCCACCGCCUCAAAGCGUGGGGAGUGCUGGGUGAAGGAACAGGAGCUCACCUUCUUAACAAAGCUAAAACCAGGAUCCUGACCAAACAGGAGCUUGUGGACCCAAAUGGCAAUGCCCGAGCACCUGAUGUUGUCUCUGUGGAUCCUGUCACUGGGCUGUUAACCCCCAGCCCGCACUGUGCCAUGCUGCUGAGCAGCCAGUGCUCUGGGCCAGUACCCAGCAACCACUUCCUGCAUCCGGGCACUGGGAAGGUGCUUCAUGUAGCUGGCAACGUCGGUUAUGAUCCCAUCAGAUCUAGGCUGGUCUGUACUGUUGAUUCUGCUUCCGGUAAGAGCUACUAUGAAAUAAUCAAUUGAUUCAAUUCCUUAUUUGUGGAAUACAGUUUUAGUGGUGUAAAAGGAAAAAAAACCAACAGCAUGAAACACCUUGGUAUACUUGCAUGUAUUUUAAGCUCGACAAAAAUCUGAAAGUAAACAAAAUCUGAGAAAAUUUCGCAGUAGCAUGACACUAGAAGAUAUUUCUCUUCAGCUAAAUACAAGACUCAAUGUGAAUAAAAAGUAUUACAUGUUACA
rnacentral:lncRNA from 1 species